rnacentral:lncRNA from 1 species
CCCGCGUGAGUAUUUUUAAUUAUAAUAUCAUCACAACUUUUGAACAAGAAGUUCAAAAGUUUGGACUUGAUAGUAACUUCUCAGUUUGUACCAAACUCUGUGGAUUUUAUGAAUGAGGAGUCCUGUCUAAAACACUGCCAUUUUUAUCCUUAUUUCAUUUGAGAUGAAUUUGAGGUUAAAGAAUUGAAACAAGUUGUUUUCGCACACACCACUGAUAGAUAACAGGAAGCUUGUCUCCGGAGCCCUGGGGUCUCCCUUUGUUCUUCCUUGUGUACGUACCUAAGGGAUGUGAGCUUCACCUCCUCAUUUCUGUAGUAAUUACUACUUUGCUAUCUUCCUUUAGUAGUACAGCAAGGUAUCUUGAGCCCUUUGAGUCCAAAUGCUGUGUCAAAUGCUCGCUCUGCCUCAUACCGCUGGACCUGAUUCCCACGGGAUCAGCAUGCUGGUAUUGGAAGCUACCGAGAAACCUCCUGCAGCUUUGGUGGGUGAGCACUCUCACAGUUGCUUUUAUUGCUGGGCUACAAUACCCUGGCCAAAUAAGCUUAAUGGAGAAAGGGCUAAUUGUGGUUCCCAGUUCCAGAUUAUAAUAUGUCACGGCAAGGAAGUCACAAUCAAGAAGCUUGCAGGAGUUGAUCACGUCACACCCACCAACAAGAAGCAGAGAGCCACAAAUGGAGAGGAGAUCAGGUCCCCUCGAAGAAGGACUCAGCUACAAUACCAAGAGGUUUUAGUAUUAACCUCUCUCUAUACAGUCCUAGGUUGCAGGCUGUUAGAUGAUCCCACCCACAAGUAAGAUGUGUCUUUCUCCAUCAGUGAACAUGAUCAAGAUAAUGUCUUAGAGACAUUCUCAGAAGCUCAUCUCUGGGGUGGUUCUAGACUUUUGUGGAUUAGAUUUAGUUGCUUUAGAGAAAGUAGCUUUAGACUGGAGUGGGACUUAGGGGUGACUCUAUCUUGACUGCUCACUGUACCUGGUGGCCUCUUCUAGCGAUUUCUUCUGUUCAGGAUCCAAGCUCGUAACUUCAGAUGAACCUGGGAUUGCCUGGAAGACACAGCUGCCUGGACCCCACAGCUGGCAUAUUUAUCCUCUCAUGUAGUCGACUGACAGCCAGGGGAGCCGCACCCUGCUCGCGGUGAGGAGGUAAGUCUGUACUGUGUGGCCUUUCUUUCUGGAGGCUGAGGCUUUUGUAGACAGGUAGCUCACCCUUUCUUUUUUCCGCGGCUUCCCCCAGUUGUCUGUGCUGACCUUCCGUCUGUGGACUGUGGGCGAAGAUCAAAGCCCUCUCCAGUAGUUACUUCAACUCAAGUUUCUCAAAAAAAAAAAGGAAGAAAGAAAAAGUAAAAGAAAGAAGAAAAAACCCUAUUUUUCUCUCCAAAGACAAGUUUCAGCACUGGGUCAGUGAAACCACCUGGUCUCCUGUCUAAGUC